CUUUAGCCACCAGGCUUCCCCUUGACCAAGCCGGUCUAUCUGCUCACUGACCUCUACCUGCUCUCCUGAGCUCACCUGUCUCCCGCCCAACAAUCCCAGAUCCCACCCAAACUGCUCCUUGUUUCCGACCCCAGUGCUGCACUGAGCCCACUGUCUGGACGCCCAGAGCCCCGCGCCCUCUCACCUCCGCCCUGCCUCCCGCGCGCUUUGGCCCGCACUAACCCCUGCGGCCGGGCUUCAGUCUCAGGCUGGCUCGGAGGCGGCGGCCGAGCCCAUCCAUGGCCCCUCCAGUGCCCGGCGCUGGCUCUCGAGUCCGCGCCGGCCCCGCCCCCCCAAUUCCUUGACCUUCUUGGGGCCCUGGAACUUUCACUUUCACGCAGGAGGCGCGGGGAGGGUGGUUGGGGCGGGACAGCGCACCUUCCGGGCUCCUGCCCAACCUCUGGCGCACCUGGGCUGGCCACUCUUCCAGGGUCCCCACCCUACGCCCCUGUGCCUCGAGGCUUGGGGUGACAGAGGGCGCUCUACUGAGCUUCCAUCCGGGAGGGGCGGUACCAUCUCACUGCGGCUCUAUGUGAAACUUCACUUUUGGAAGCACACUGGAACUCCUGAAAAGGGGCUGGAGAGGUGGAUUAAAGUACUGAGCCUGCCUUCCAUUGGACUUAGUCCACAGAUCAACAAAUUGACGACAGUACCUGCCUGGCUACCUGUUAAGAUGUUCUCUGGAUUCUUGCAUGAGAUAAUAUGAGAGGACAUGGCUGCUCUAAGUGCCCUGAAGCUUAUACCUCUCUCAACUUAUUGA